UAGUAGCAUCACCUCGGGAUUCGUUCGUUAGUUCCAACAUUUCCCGGUAGAGGCGUCGUAAUAAGCGCAAUUUUAUCUUACAAACUUUCUCUUACAAUUACCGAAGCAUUUUCUUUUACAUAAAAACAGGGCAAAAUUAUCAUUGCUAAUUAGAUAUUGUACUCUUUGUUAGUAAGUUUAUUGUUUCUUCGCCAUUAUGAACGCAAAUAGCGUUCAGCAUCAUCGAUCUUUCACGUGACCUCUGGCCUGGAUUUAAAAUUUUUACCGGUAUUUCCGAGUGCACGGCGGCACGGAUUCAUUCGUUCGUACACUCAAGACUGGUUGCUUCUUUGUUUCUAAAACUAGUUUCUUGCGCUUCUAUGUAACUUGGGGUGAAGUUACGUGUUUGCAAGCGGACAUGUAAGCCCGGCAGUUGGUUUUCGGUCGUGAGCCAUUCGGAACAGGUCUGCAUCGAAACGGGAGCUGGAUUUUGCUGCGGCUGACAACGGCAAUAACGACAUGCAGUAAUGACGACGGCACCAGUAUAAAGCAACACACUCCACGCACUAAACAGAAGCUGCUGCCUGCUACGACAAGGUCAUUGUGUGGACAUUGGCUACUACUACAAGAGUCUAUGCCAAGCACAUCUUGGUCAUCACAGGAGCUCCUAUCUGCACCAACAGGAAGGGGCUGGAGCCGAAUUUGCAAGGCUUUUACACCAAGAACAAAGAAGAACAUGCACAAGAAUAUGGAUGAGAUAUCAAGUCUGCAAAGGACUGUGUUAAGACUGCAAAGAGCUUCAGCCACCAUUCCACCAGCACGGACAUUUGGCUGAGUCAUCCAAGUAACUCAAAAAGGACUUUCUAGAAAUUCUUCGUCUUCAGAUGCACCUGCAACAUCUGACCAAGCACGGACGACGCUGGCCAAAAGAUUGAGUUUCAUCAGUUCGUCCUUAAUCAGCUUCCAAGCCAUGUUAAUUCCGUUUGUGCGAAGUGUAAUUUUUCUUCUAUAAAUGCAAGCUUUCUCAUUGCCCAUUUUUGUUAGAGGUUAUUCAUCCUCAUCCAAAUAUAAAGGUCAACCUUUAUAUUUGGAUAUUUCGCUGAUACUUAAUACCAGUCACUGUCUAGCAGCCUAACAUAUCUGUAGCAGUAUCUUCUAGUGUAUGUUGUCAUGCGCAAUUACUCUCCUGAAAUAGCUGAUGCAGCAUCGGCAUGCGUCUUGCAUUAACCUAUGCACAUGUGCUAUGCACCAUUUUACUUUUCUUGGUGUUUUUAGCCUUCAAUGCUUGCAGAGCAGAGUGGCUUCUCUCUUGAAUGCAAGCUUUCUCAUUUUCCAUAUUCCUAGUCUCGUUGAUGAUUGCUCCUCUUCCUUGAUAGCCUGGGUCUUUGUGCAAGCUACAGUGAAGUGAUUGAUUGCAGAAUCUGGUUUUGCUGCCACACUUGGUUGUGGUAACUGUGUUACAGAUGUGGGGGCCUGGUCAG